ACUCACCAUUGCCCAACAUAGGAGCUGUUUUAUGUCUUCCUCUUGAUUCUCACUGUUUCCUGCUUUGGAGCAUAAGCUGGACAGAAGAAUACCAUCGGAGCUCCUCUGGAACAUGUCCUUGUCUUCUCAGAGUGUGAAGUGUGUGUGUGACAGUGCUUUUCUGAGGACUCAGGUGACCUGGAGGCUGGAGAACAGCAUGGAGCAAGGAAAACAAAGACGAUGUGCUGGAGUGUAUGUUGCUUUCAUAAUUAUGUGAAAGAAAAUGUAGAGAAAUUUGAAAGGAGAACUGGUUAUCAGUAGUGCCAUCCUGCUCAAAUAUCUUCAAAUACACACCACCAUCCAUGUGUGGGUUGAUUAAGGAGCUGACGUUCAUUAGAUCUGCAGUCUCCUGACCUGAUGUGCAUCAGAAUCACUGGGAGAACAAACAAACAAAAAUGAAUCCAAAACAAGCAACGAACAGACAGAUUCUCAAGUCUUGCCAAGUCCAAAGAUUGAUUUGGUGGAGAAAUUGUACUUUGAAAGCUGCCCA
rnacentral:lncRNA from 1 species